AUCAACUUUCGAUGGUAGGAUAGAGGCCUACCAUGGUUUUAACGGGUAACGGGGAAUUAGGGUUCGAUUCCGGAGAGGGAGCCUGAGAAACGGCUACCACAUCCAAGGAAGGCGGCAGGCGCGCAAAUUACCCAAUCCCGACACGGGGAGGUAGUGACAAUAAAUAACAAUACAGGGUUCUUUUGGAUCUUGUAAUUGGAAUGAGUACAAUUUAAAUCUCUUAACGAGGAACAAUUGGAGGGCAAGUCUGGUGCCAGCAGCCGCGGUAAUUCCAGCUCCAAUAGCGUAUAUUAAAGUUGUUGCAGUUAAAAAGCUCGUAGUUGAAUUUCGGGAUCAAUAUAUCGGUCGUGCCAUUGGUACGUACUGGUAUCAUUGGUUUCUCCUUUCUGACGAACCAUGAUGUCAUUAAUUUGGUGUUAUGGGAAGUUAGGACUGUUACUUUGAAAAAAUUAGAGUGUUUAAAGCAGGCUUUAGCUUGAAUACAUUAGCAUGGAAUAAUGAAAUAGGACGUUCGAACCUAUUUUGUUGGUUUCUAGGAUCAACGUAAUGAUUAAUAGGGAUAGUUGGGGGCAUUAGUAUUCAAUUGUCAGAGGUGAAAUUCUUGGAUUUAUUGAAGACUAACUACUGCGAAAGCAUUUGCCAAGGAUGUUUUCAUUAAUCAAGAACGAAAGUUAGGGGAUCGAAGACGAUCAGAUACCGUCGUAGUCUUAACCAUAAACUAUGCCGACUAGGAAUCAGACGAUGUUAAUUUUUUAAUGACUCGUUUGGCACCUUACGGGAAACCAAAGUGUUUGGGUUC
rnacentral:rRNA from 1 species